GCCAGUGUGGUGUAGUGGUUUGAGUGUUGGACUAUGACUCUGGAGACCAGGAUUUGAAUCCCUGCUUGGCCA